AAAAGGACUAUGACUGUUGAGGAUUCUUCACGUUGCAUUCGAUGAGUAUAUCAAGGCUCCAAAUACGUUAGAACAUGUCAAGGACUUUACUGAAGAGGAUGAAAAUUCAGCAGGAGAAGAGGAAGUGCACAAAGAAAUGACUGAUAAAGAAAAUAGUGAUGAGCAAGUCGACUCUCCCAUAACAGAAUCGACUAAGGAGUGAAGAGUGCCAAAGAACGUCUCCACUGACAACAUAAUUGGUGACACAUCUCAAGAGGAG
rnacentral:lncRNA from 1 species